GGGCAGGUGGUCGAGUGGUAAUACGGCUGCCUGGAAGCCCUGGUAAGUAGGAUUUACUGGUUGGGGCCCGGCCAUCUGAGAUACCAGGGUUGUAGGUUCGAUUCCUACGCUCCCUA